GGUAUUUUGACCGUGCAAAGGUAGCAUAAUCAUUAGUUUUUUAAUUGAAAGCUGGAAUGAAAGGUUGGAUGAAAAAUAAGCUGUCUCUAUUUAAUUUUAUUAGAAUUUUAUUUUUAAGUUAAAAAGCUUAAAUUUUAAUAGAAGACGAGAAGACCCUAUAGAGUUUUAUUUAUUUUUUAUAUAAGAUUAAUAGUAUAAAUUAUUUUUAUUUAAAAUAUAAAUUUAGUUGGGGUGAUUGAAAAAUUUGAUAAACUUUUUUUGUAUAUAAACAUUAAUUUAUGAUUAAUUGAUCCUUAAUUUAAGAUUAAAAGAUAAAAUUACCUUAGGGAUAACAGCGUAAUUUUUUUUGAGAGUUCAAAUCGAAAAAAAAGAUUGCGACCUCGAUGUUGGAUUAAAAUAAAAUUUUGGUGUAGAAGCUGAAA
rnacentral:rRNA from 1 species